GAUGAAGAACGCAGCGAAAUGCGAUAAGUAAUGUGAAUUGCAGAAUUCAGUGAAUCAUCGAAUCUUUGAACGCACAUUGCGCCCGCCAGUAUUCUGGCGGGCAUGCCUGUCCGAGCGUCAUUUCAUCCCUCGAACCCCUCCGGGGGGUCGGCGUUGGGGAUCGGCACUUACCUGCCGGCCCCGAAAUACAGUGGCGGUCUCGCCGCAGCCUCUCCUGCGCAGUAGUUUGCACACUCGCACCGGGAGCGCGGCGCGUCCACGGCCGUAAAACAACCCAAACUUCUGAAAUGUUGACCUCGGAUCAGGUAGGAAUACCCGCUGAACUUAAGCAUAUCAAUAAGCGGAGGA
rnacentral:misc_RNA from 1 species